ACACCCAGGACCUCUCCAAGUGCGUCACCAAGGGACUUCCUGUGACUUCCACAGCCUCCUCCCUGAGCUGGGCCUUGGCCUCUCCCUGUCUGUGGCCCACAGGCCUCCACGCUGUCCAGACCUGGGUACUGGAACCCAUCGGACCUUGCGUUGCAGUAACUGGUACUAAAGUGCCUGCCCAGCCCAGCUGGGCCUGCCUCCCCCUCAGCAGGAUAACCAAAUCACACACCCUCGCCAGGACCCAGCCUCAUGGGGCUCUGUAGCUGGGCAUUGAGCAAAGGACCGCAAGGCAACUGGUGCAUCUGCUGGAGGAUUGGGGCCAUCAGGCAAGCUUCUCCAGUUGGUACUGCUAGUGCCCAAAGCACCCGCCCCUCAGCCCUGGCGCUCCUUCUCCUGCUGGAACCUUCACCCCGAGUCUGGCCUUAAAGUUCUGAUUGUUUUCUGCCCUGUGCGCCUUGUUUCUGGGUGGGGUGGGGGGGAAGGGUGAGGAUUGAUUGACCCCAGCACUUGGAGCUGCUUGCCUUGUAGAUCCCAGUAUCCCCUGGGUUCACCGGAGUCCUGUUUCCCAUUUGAAGCUUGUCCAGGGCUGGUGGGAAUGCUGGAAUCUCUCUGGGAUGCUUCUGGCUGCAGAAAGGAACCUAGACUGUGUCCUCUUUGCUGACAUGCACUUCCAGUCUUACUGCGGUUUCUAGCCUGUACUGGCAGGGCACUGCUGGGAGGAAGCUCGCAGCACUGAGGUCUCAGCUAGGCACUGAGAGGGCACUGCUGUUGGGAAGCAUGUGGCACCUGCGUCCUCAGCCGGAAACUAACAGCACACUGUUGGGAAGAAGUUUGCAGCACUGGGAAUCGUGACAGGCCACUGCUGAAAGCAGCUCACACUCAUGGUGCUGCUAUAAAGCUCGAGCCGCAGAGCCGCUGCCAGUUCCUGAUUCCUGGAUUGUCGAGAGCCCUGCGGGCUAAAGGGAGGUGCAGCCCCAUCGAGCAAGGCAGAGCCCGAGCCCGAGCCCGAGCCUGGUGCUGGGACACCCGGGGCCAAGCCCCCACCCCACCACCUGCCAUGAAGCCCCGAAGCCUGGGCACAGCUGCCCUGCGGCUGGGUCUAGGGCUGCUGCUGCUGCUGGCCACAGGUGAGUGGCACCUGGAGCCGGAUCGGACUCACUCUGGGCUGCGCAGGGGGUUGGGGGAGUCAUGGCGUGAGGACGGCGGAGGACCCAGGGCAGGUUUCUGUCCGUUCCCUAGAAGGAUCCGUGGGGUGGGGCCAUGGCUCAGCAGGUCGGGCAGCCCCAGGGCCUCGCUGCCUUUAGCCGC
rnacentral:lncRNA from 1 species